CCGCCGCCCGCACGGCUCGCCCGCCCGCCCGCAGCGCGCCCCGGCUCGCUCGCUCCCUCGUUCGUUCGCUCGCUCGCUCCCUCGUUCGUUCGCUCGCUCGCUCGGGCGGGCGGGCGGAAUUAGAAGAGUGACCUUGGCUUAGCCCGGAAUAGAAGCGUGAACCUCCCAAAUGCCUGGCCACUGAGAAAGCUGAAGAACUGCUCUAGCCCCAUGAAAGGGUCCAAGGACCGCUUGAACACAGAUGAGAACACCACUCACCCCUCAUCGGAGAAGCUUCUUCCUGCGGUGAAUGAGAAUUAACAAAGAUAUCCACAGCUGGACAACGUGCAGAGAAGGACAGUGUUCGGAGCACUCGGUCCUAAUCGGGAUGUCUUUACCAAGCCCCUCUCUUCAAGGCUUCGGGGAUCCGUGCAGAAGAGUGGCCGAUGGCUCCCAGUGAACAACAUCUCCCAGACACACCAGGACUGAUGCUCAUGUGAACUCAUGGAGACUGUGGCGGCACACACAAGGCCUCCACGGGUUCAAACCAGAUGAAGUCCCAGCACUGAGGGGGGAAGUGGACACAGAGUCCACCCCUAACCAGGAGGCGAUUUGCAGUUGAUAGCUGCUGGGAGAGGGAAAAUCGGUUUUCUUCAACGGAGCGACACUAGAUAUGUCAGCCAUAUUCCGAGGCAGGCUCCAUGGCCAGGAGCAAGUUGCCAACACAAAACGGACUCCACGAUGUUUGUUUGUUUGUUUUGUUUUUAAAAGUGUGUGUACUUUUUGUUUUGGUAUUUUUUUCUUUCCUUUUUUUGUCUGUUUUGAUUUUUUAUUUUCAUUUUUGUUUGUUUGUUUGUUUUUCUUUUUUUUUUUUAAGAUUUAUUUAUUGUGUAUACAGUAUUCUGCCUGCAUGUAACCCUGCAGGCCAGAAGAGGGCGCCAGAUCUCAUUGCAGAUGGUUGUGAGCCUCCAUGUGGUUGCUGGGAAUUGAACUCGGGACCUUUGGAAGAGCAAGCAGUGCUCUUAACCUCUGAGCCAUCUCUCCAGCCCUGUUUGUUUUUUUACAGGCUUUCUCUCUGUAGCCCUUUGUAGACCAGCGUGGUCUCGAACUCACAGAGAUCUGCCUGCCUCUGCCUCUCAAGUGCUGGGAUUAAAGGUGAGUGCCACCAUACCUGGCUUUUUUUUUUUCCCAGUGAGAGAGAAAGAACAGGAAGUUGGGUAGGUAGGGAGGUGAGGAGAAUCUGGGUGGUGUUGGGGAAGGAGAAAGAAUAUGCUCAAAAUAUAUUGUAUGAAAAGAAUUUAAUAAUAAAAAAAUAAGAAAUUGGAGAGAAAAUACAUCCAAGAAGAAGAAUCAAGUUAUGGAGCUUAAGGCGGGUAGUGGAAGGGGCUGGGCAGGACACAGAGAAGACAGUUAUUCACGGCCAUGCUUCCUGAAGACUCGGCGACUGUCCCGUGUUCUCCAUGGUAAUUUCUAUCCAUGUAAACAGCCCUGCUUGAAUAUCACUUAGCUGUAAGAAAGAAUGGCAUCUUACAGCCAAAAGCAUGGUAGAGGAGGACGUCACAUUGUGUGAAAUAAGCCAGACACAGAAAGACAAAUUCUACUUGUCCUAAUUAAUAUUCAUAACCUGCAUAUAUCCAUGUUUUAAUAUGUACAAUUAGCACAUGCUAAUAAAAAUGAUGCAUUUAAUAAGAAAAUCGUGGCCUGAAAGAGCAUGUCAGAGAAGAUAUUUAAAUAUCCCAAACCAACUUCAUUUGUAUAUUUAUUUUUUAAAACCUUUUAAUUUAUUUUUAUUUCAUGAGCAUUGGUGUUUUGCCUUCAUGUAUGUCUGUGUGAGUGUGUUGGAUCCCUUGGAACUGGAGUUUCAGAUAGUUGUGGAUGCUGGGAAUUGAACCCGGGUCCUCUGGAAGAGAAGCCAGUGCUCUUAACCACUGAGCCAUCUCUCCAGCCCCAACUUCAUUAAUUUUGACAGAAAUGAAAAAAUAAUGUUGAUAUAUGGUCAGGCAAAAACUGGAAGCACACAAUUGGAGGUGGGCAAAAAAGAGAAAGAUGAGGAGGAGGUGAGUAUCAGCCACUGUCCCAUGCUUCUGAGGACUGAGACAGGAAUUACGCACCUGCCCGCUCAUGGAAAUGCUGGCUCAAGUACAGCAAAGCUUUAAGAGUUGGCUAUAAUUUGUGCGCUAGGGCCCUCUGGUGGUCACACGGUGCAGUUCCGGGGGGGGGGCAGAGAAACGGAGGGAAUAAUUAGAGAGACAUUUAAGUGAAAUAAUUCUUAUUUAGGGACUAGAUACAAAUAUUAAAAAUUUAGAUUAAACCAAUGAUUAACAGACACAUAACUUUAAAAUAUCUUUAGAUUUCUGUAGUAAUUUAAGACAUUUUAAGUGUGUGUGUGUGUGUGUGUGUGUGUGUGUGUGUGUGUGUGUGUGCAUGUGCUCCUGCAUGAGCAUGAGGAUGACAGACUAGAAGGAGAGCAGGAAAGGACAUAAAGAGGAACUGGAGAGAGCAGUCUGGGAGGGAUCUACCACAAUGCUAACAGGAAUUAUUUCUAUGAGGAAAUCUGAAGGAUAAUUUUCUAUUUCUUCCCUUAAACUUUUCUGUAUUUGCCAAAGUUAGUACAGUGAACGUUACAUUAAAAAUGAAGCAAACACAAAUAUUCUCAACGUAAAACAUGAGCUUGGGUUUUACAUUUUUUAACUGGAGCCAUACCAUAUAUUAUUCUAAAACUAGCAUUUCUUGUUGUAUCAUCUAGGGAUAUUUCUACGCUACCAGCGUUUACAAUUCAAACCCACUUAAAUGAAUAUUUAUUUGUACCUCGAGAAGAAAGUUCAUCAUUUCAAUACUUGAUGUUCAUCAGUCCAUUCAGAUGCAUCGGCUUCAGGGAGAAGAUGUAUUUCCACUGAAGAGAAGUACGAUGAAGUCAGCCAUCCCUCUCUAGUCAGAAUUGUGGUACAAAAGUUGUGGUACAGUUUUUCUCAUUGCUGUGAUAAAACACCACACAAAAGCUACUUAAGAAUGGAAGGGCUUGUUUUGGGUCACAGUUGGAAGCCACAGUAGCAAGAACAUGUAAUGACUGGUCAUAUUGUGUCCGCAGUCAGGAUAUGAGAGAGAGAGAGAGAGAGAGAGAGAGAGAGAGAGAGAGAGAGAGAGAGAGAGUGCUUUCACCUCUUUUUCCUUUCCACCCAGCCUGAGACACCCAUCCCUGGGAUGGUGGGACCCAUACUCGGGGUAGGCCUUCCCUCUUUAGUUAAACCUCUCAAGAGAUGCCCUCGCAGAGGUAUGUCUCCUAGGUGACUCCAAAUCCAGUCAAUGGAGAUUAACCCUCACAGGAUGGCCUGUCUUAGACUGAGCUAUGCUGCCCAGUCAGAGCUGAAGGGAAACAGCCUAAGGCUGGACACUUGCCCUCACCUCUGCCAUGACCUUGGUGAACCUCCAGGCACUUUGUUCAGGCUGACCUUUGAGACACUGGAAAUAGAGUGUAAGUAAAGGAGUUCUUUAAAAGAGAAGAUCAUAUAGACCUAAAGGGGUGUUGCAGCUUAUGGGGGUGUGUGAUAACGCAUUUUCACUAGAAAACGAAGUUGGAGCUGCUUUCAGAAAAAUUUAAAAUUUAAUGAAAUUGUCAAAGAAUAAAGAAAUUACUUAAAAAGCUAAUGCAUAUAUUGUAAACUGUCCAAACAAUGUGAAGUGGCCUUCUCCUCACCUCAGUUUUCAGCCUAUUUCUGCAUUAGUGCAUUAGCUGUUACCAACGGGUUCCAGUGACGUUCUCGCGUAAAAGCAGCGAAUUCAAAUAUGUCUUUCCCUGUUUUAACAUUCAAGUGAGAACACAUUACCUCCAUGUGUCCCAGGACUACAUGAUUCUAACAAAAUGUAACUGUCUGUCUAGUAGCCUUUUUGUUUGUUUGUUCAUCCAAGGUGUGACAUGUCAGAACUGGGGUCUGGCUGUGACUAAGUCACAUCCCAUUGUAUGUGCACAGCAGCCGUGGCUCAUCUGCCCGCCCAGCCUUCAGUCAUGACUAACUGUCAACUGAGUAAACACCCAAGGGACACGCAUUAGCUGAGCACUUUAGAAAGAUCAUCUGUCUACAGGGGACAUUUCUUGGACUAAGGGUGAAGAGUAGAAAAGGAAGAGACUAUUCCAGAACAACAGGAAGCAGAAGAGAGCAGGACGGGGGUGGGGUGACUCAGUUGCUCAAGUGUGAGGACCUUUGUGCCAAUCCCCAGCACUACGUAAGAAGCCAAGUGUGGUGGUGCACACACCAGUGAUCCCAACGCUAGGCAGGCAGAGAAGGGAGAAGUCCUCAGGCUUGCCAUCCGAUGGUCCACCUAUCUCAAAACAUAUGAUGGAAAGUUCACAGGAAUAUGUCCAUAUGCAUAUAUAUACAUAUAUAUACAUAAUAUAUGUAUAUACCACAUUUCCAUCAGAUAAAAUAGAAUUUAAGAGAAAAUGUAACGUGUUGUGGAAUAUUUAACUAUGUAAAAUGUGUUACAUUUGUUUCACCUUGUCUGCCUAAGGCACCUGAUUGGUCCAAUAAAGAGCUGAACGGCCAAUAGUGAGGUAGACAAAGGAUAGGCAGGGCUGGCAGGCCGAGAGACUAAACAGGAGGAGAAAUCUAAAGAGUGAGAGAGAAGAGAGGAGAGAAGGAGGUUGAAAGAGAGGGACCGCCCUGGGGCCAGAAGCCAGGCAGACGCCAGCCAGACACAGAGGAAACAGGGAAGUAGGACAUACAGAAGGAAGAAAGGUAAAAAGCCCGAGGCAAAACGUAGAUAAAGAGACACAGGUUAAGUUAAAAGAACUAGCCAAAAAAAUGAGCCUAAUUUAAUCCCAGCACUCGGGAGGCAGAGCCAGGCGGAUCUCUGUGAGUUCGAGGCCAGCCUGGACUACCAAGUGAGUUCCAGGAAAGGCGCAAAGCUACACAGAGAAACCCUGUCUCGAAAGACC